rnacentral:rRNA from 1 species
GGAAGGUCCGGGCGUUAUCCGGAUUUAUUGGGUUUAAAGGGGGCGUAGGCCGGAGAUUAAGCGUGUUGUGAAAUGUAGACGCUCAACGUCUGCACUGCAGCGCGAACUGGUUUCCUUGAGUACGCACAAAGUGGGCGGAAUUCGUGGUGUAGCGGUGAAAUGCUUAGAUAUCACGAAGAACUCCGAUUGCGAAGGCAGCUCACUGGAGCGCAACUGACGCUGAAGCUCGAAAGUGCGGGUAUCGAACAGGAUUAGAUACCCUGGUAGUCCACACGGUAAACGAUGGAUACUCGCUGUUGGCGAUAUACUGUCAGCGGCUUAGCGAAAGCGUUAAGUAUCCCACCUGGGGAGU